CCUACGGGUGGCUGCAGUGGGGAAUAUUGGACAAUGGGGGAAACCCUGAUCCAGCAAUGCCGCGUGUGUGAAGAAGGCCUGCGGGUUGUAAAGCACUUUCGGUUGGGAAGAAAAGUUUGGCGCCAAUACCGCCGAACCUUGACGUUACUGACAGAAGAAGCACCGGCUAACUCUGUGCCAGCAGCCGCGGUAAUACCGAGGGUGCAAGCGGUAGUAGGAAUUGCUGGGGUGACAGCGCAAGUCGGUGGUGAAAUCCCCGGGCUUAACCUGGGAACGGCAUUCGAUACUACAUGGCUAGAGUAUGGUAGAGGGAAGUGGAAUUUCCGGUGUAGCGGUGAAAUGCGUAGAUAUCGGAAGGAACACCAAUGGCGAAGGCAGCUUCCUGGACUAAUACUGACACUGAGGCACGAAAGCGUGGGUAGCAAACAGGAUUAGAUACCCUUGUAGUC
rnacentral:rRNA from 1 species